rnacentral:tRNA from 1 species
ACCCAGCUGGCUCAGUCCGUUGGAGCACAUGACUCUUGAUCUCGGGGUUGUGAGUUCGAGCCCCAUGCUGGGUG